CUCACUGCUACACUGAUUCUCCCACUGGCCUGAGAGUCUAUGAUCUUCUCACCACAGAGAUUGUGAGCACUGAACCACAGGGCCAAGCCACAGGCACCACGGAGCCAGAGCCACCUCCAUAGAGACUCAGACAGUGGGCUUGGAGCCCUCAACAUCACCUCCACAAGAAAAGAAAUUGGCCAUGACUGAGCUGUUUGGAGGCCUGUUCAUGACCCAUGACCAUGAGCCAAGCACCAAAUCUGUGGCCAGAAUGGCAGAGGGGGAAAUGCAGUUGUUCAGGGCAGUGGACUGUAUUCCCUUGGAUGCAGAUCCACUGAAAUGGUAGAAAGCACACGAGCACUUAUACCCUCAUUUUGCCAUGUUCCCACGGUGUUACCUGGCUGUGCCUGGAACAUCUGUCCCUAGCGAGAGGGUGUUUUUCACUGCAAGUGACAUUCUCAUCAAGCAGAUCUGUGCUGUCUGAAGAAAAUGUGGACACUCUCGUCUUUCUGA